GUUCGAUCGAACGGAUUUUGUCACAGUUAGAAUACUAGAAGUUCGAAGGAUUUUUAUGCAACAGCUGUGAUUUUCGCUUGACAGAAAGGCAAAUUUACAAAUUAUCAGAUUGUUUAAUGAAGAGUACUCAAUUACACGAGGACAAUAGGCAAGACAAAAGCGCGUGCUUGGGCCACGAGGCUCUCAGUGCUAUAACAUCACACGAGAUUCCAGCAGUCGACAGCUGCCAUAGGACUUCGUUUUGUUUAGAAAUUGUUAAAUGUAUUUAGUAAACCACAAAAAAGGCAAGCGCAUAGCCAGAUAACCGACUGUGGUUUUUAUAGCUUAAAGGAAUUUAUUUUGUGGUUUAGGGAAAGGGCCAAUAUAGUUACUAUAUUGAUAAGUAAUUAAUUCGUCACGAAAUAUAUGUGUAAUAUUUGUUGUAGUGUAUGCUAUUGUAACACUUUAUAUAUAGAGACGAAGAACAUUUUGUGUAGUUCUUAGGAUAGUUUAUAGUAUCAAAAUUUAUUUGAUAAAAUUGCCGAAAUUUCACCUAUUCAAAACUUAAUGGAAAACUUUAUUGGGUAAAGGGUUUGAAAAAGCUUCUGAGAGUUUUAGAUAUAUUCUAUAACACCACAGGCGCCAUAAGAUACAGGUUAUUUCUCUUUAUGAGAAUCGUAAAUAUUCCCUACUAAGGAAACUGAUUACCAGAUAGGUCUUGUAAUAUGGGCAAAAUCAUAUAAUUUUGGACAAUGCUAUAUAUGGCUUUUUAACAUUCUCUAAUGAGCAGUGUUCUUGUCUUUGGAGCUUAACAUUACCAUGCACUAUAAACUUCCAUG